CUAAUCCCAUAAAACUAUUCUCAGUUCGGAUUGUAGGCUGCAACUCGCCUACAUGAAGCCGGAAUCGCUAGUAAUCGUGGAUCAGCAUGCCACGGUGAAUACGUUCCCGGGCCUUGUACACACCGCCCGUCACACCACGAGAGUUUGUAACACCCGAAGUCGGUAGGGUAACCUUUAUGGAGCCAGCCGCCGAAGGUGGGACAGAUAAUUGGGGUGAAGUCGUAACAAGGUAGCCGUAUCGGAAGGUGCGGCUGGAUCACCUCCUUUCUAAGGAA
rnacentral:rRNA from 1 species